rnacentral:rRNA from 1 species
GACAGAGGGUGCAAGCGUUGUUCGGAAUUACUGGGCGUAAAGGGCGCGUAGGCGGUCCGCUAAGUUCGGCGUGAAAUCCCCUGGCUCAACUGGGGAACGGCGCUGGAUACUGGUGGACUUGAGUACCGGAGAGGAGAGUGGAAUUCCUGGUGUAGCGGUGAAAUGCGUAGAUAUCAGGAGGAACACCGGUGGCGAAGGCGGCUCUCUGGACCGAUAUUGACGCUGAGGAGCGAAAGCCAGGGGAGCAAACGGG